UCAGGACGAACGCUGGCGGCGUGCCUAAUACAUGCAAGUCGAGCGGAGUUUGAGGAGUGCUUGCACUUCUCAAACUUAGCGGCGGACGGGUGAGUAAUACGUAGGCAACCUGCCUGUAAGACUGGGAUAACUGCCGGAAACGGUAGCUAAUACCAGAUAAUCCAUUUCACCGCAUGGUGGAAUGAUAAAAGACGGAGCAAUCUGUCACUUACAGAUGGGCCUACGGCGCAUUAGCUAGUUGGUGAGGUAACGGCUCACCAAGGCGACGAUGCGUAGCCGGCCUGAGAGGGUGAACGGCCACACUGGGACUGAGACACGGCCCAGACUCCUACGGGAGGCAGCAGUAGGGAAUCUUCCGCAAUGGACGAAAGUCUGACGGAGCAACGCCGCGUGAGUGAUGAAGGUUUUCGGAUCGUAAAGCUCUGUUGCCAGGGAAGAACGUCUUGUAGAGUAACUGCUACAAGAGUGACGGUACCUGAGAAGAAAGCCCCGGCUAACUACGUGCCAGCAGCCGCGGUAAUACGUAGGGGGCAAGCGUUGUCCGGAUUUAUUGGGCGUAAAGCGCGCGCAGGCGGUCAUUUAAGUCUGGUGUUUAAACCCGAGGCUCAACUUCGGGUCGCAUUGGAAACUGGGUGACUUGAGUACAGAAGAGGAGAGUGGAAUUCCACGUGUAGCGGUGAAAUGCGUAGAUAUGUGGAGGAACACCAGUGGCGAAGGCGACUCUCUGGGCUGUAACUGAC
rnacentral:rRNA from 1 species